rnacentral:rRNA from 1 species
AAAACUUUCAACAACGGAUCUCUUGGUUCUGGCAUCGAUGAAGAACGCAGCGAAAUGCGAUAAGUAGUGUGAAUUGCAGAAUUCAGUGAAUCAUCGAAUCUUUGAACGCACAUUGCGCCCUGUGGUAUUCCGCAGGGCAUGCCUGUUCGAGCGUCAUUUACCUACC